AACGUAGGUGGCGAGCGUUAUCCGGAUUUACUGGGCGUAAAGCGUGUGCAGGCGGGGUGAUAAGUGGUGUAUGAAAGCACUGCGCUCAACGCAGUGACCGUAGGCCAGACUGACUAUCUGGAGGGCGAGAGAGGGGCGUGGAAUUCCGGGUGUAGUGGUGAAAUGCGUAGAGAUCCGGAGGAACACCAGUGGCGAAGGCGACACGCUGGGCCGUACCUGACGCUAAAGCGCGACAGCAUGGGGAGCAAACGGG
rnacentral:rRNA from 1 species